GCAUCUGUAAUGCUGAGUUGUCCAAAUGAGAAUUCCAGUUAAUUGCAAAUUCAACUUCUGUUCCCUCCUGAAAAUGGCAAGUUAUUAUACUGUAUUUAUACUCUAUUCAGGUUCUAGAAUCAAUUGGCUUUUUAUUUUCCAUUUCCAUGAAUUUUAUUAUGCAUUAAUAGGCAAUUUCAGCUCAACUUUUAGUUCGUUAGAAGCAAGGAUAGAGAACGCUAGUACUAUUUGUUUUUUUUUUUUAAUUUAAGUUUUGUAUCUAUUCUUAUUAGUUCUAACAGAAGAUAAUGUUUAUUUAUUCCACAAAGUAAAUAUUAUCAGAGUAUAUUUGCUACAAAAUUAGGUUCUUACCAAGUGUUAUGAAUCUGGCAAGAGAAUACAAACAAGGAUGAACUGAUCCUCGUAUAAUAUUUAUAUAUAACCCUUCUCUAAAUAUUUUUUGUUAACUUUAUAUUUUUGACUGAAAAACCGAAGAAAUCUCAACUGUUUUUACCUACACUGAUAUUUUAAAGCCUAGGGCUUUACAAAACCAAAUUAUAAAUGUGCAUAUAUAUACAGAAAUACAUCAUACAAAAUCUAGAUCAGUUUUCUCAAAUAUACAAUAGAUGUUUUUGGCAAUAUAAGAUCAAAAGUGUAAUUCCUUUUCAAAUUAGGCAUAUAGAAACCAGUGAUAUUAAUAUUGUGAGUGAAAAGUUACUGCUGCUUCCAGGGUGAAGAUAUACCUGCUUCAUUACACAUGUUCAUGUAGGUGAAUGGACAGUGAGACAUCUUUUUCAGAAAGUAUCAUAUACUGGAAAAUUACCUGUUGGAGGCACCUAUACUGAUCAUAACUUUUAACUUGUGAAUCUAGGCACAUAAGUCUGAUUUUACUUUAUGGCAUU
rnacentral:lncRNA from 1 species